rnacentral:rRNA from 1 species
AACGAACGCUGGCGGCAGGCUUAACACAUGCAAGUCGAGCGAAGCCUUCGGGCUUAGCGGCGGACGGGCGAGUAACGCGUGGGAACGUGCCCUUUGGUACGGAAUAGCCCCGGGAAACUGGGAGUAAUACCGUAUGUGGUCGAGAGACGAAAGAUUUAUCGCCAAAGGAUCGGCCCGCGUUGGAUUAGGUAGUUGGUGGGGUAAUGGCCUACCAAGCCGACGAUCCAUAGCUGGUUUGAGAGGAUGAUCAGCCACACUGGGACUGAGACACGGCCCAGACUCCUACGGGAGGCAGCAGUGGGGAAUCUUAGACAAUGGGGAAACCCUGAUCUAGCCAUGCCGCGUGAUCGAUGAAGGCCUUAGGGUUGUAAAGAUCUUUCAGUGGGGAAGAUAAUGACUGUACCCACAGAAGAAGCCCCGGCUAACUCCGUGCCAGCAGCCGCGGUAACAC